GACCUGGUGGUGAAAGGAAUCACACCUGCUUUGCCUGCCAUGGCUGAAAGAGAAAUAUUUGUAGGGAUCCCCGGUUCAAGUCCGGGCCAGGUCA